UUUAAGAAAUGGGGUCCCGAGGAAGAGGAUUCUGAGGAUGAAGUUCCUGAUAAAGAAGAUGAUGAGGAAGGGGAUUCUGAGGAACAGCAUCCCAAUGUAGAGGAUUCUGUGGAAGAAGACACCGAGGAAGAGGAUUCUGAAGGACGAAGUGGAUCCUUGGGGCCAAGAUCCUGAUAAGGAAGACUAACUUCAACUUUUCAUAUGCAAAACAAAGAAAGGGUUUUCCUUCUACAUGGUACAUAUAUAUAUGCAGAAUUUGGCUUCAUUUGAGGACAUGUAUUGAUACCAUCCCAGUCAGAGAGAUGCUGCCAAUGAAUUGUUCAUCAGUCUCUUUUGUAUGUUUUGCUUUAUGAUGCCAUAUCUGUAAGUUGCUAAUGCUACCUGCUGGCACUUAAGAGACCAUUCAACCGCUUGUGGUUCAAAAUAUGUGUGAUUAAGCUUUUUUGCACAUUUGACUUUAUUUGCAUUAUUCUUGUGUACGCGUAUUAAUAUUAUAUGACCAAGCUUGUUAGGACCUUUCAUAUUCA